GUCCUCGUAGCUCAGCUGGAUAGAGCAACGGCCUUCUAAGCCGUCGGUCACACGUUCGAAUCGUGCCGAGGACA
rnacentral:tRNA from 1 species